AAAUGAAGGAAAAAGAAAUUCACCGGUUUCGACGUUCUGAUGCGUUGUUCUAGGUGACAAAUUCCUUCCUCUUCUCUGGUUUCAAUUUGGAUUUCUUCUUCUCAUUCUUCUGUACUCAAACUCUGGUUUCUGUAGAAUCAAGGAAGGCUUUAACAGACGGUCCCUUUACCCUGUGAUGACUCGCGUGGUGCGGUGUGACGGAUGUCGCAAUUGGAAUUGUGCAUCGAAUUCACAAGUUUCCUUUACUCCCUCUUCGCGCGCCUACGCUUUCUGUUUUCAACUCCAAAGCUGGUUUUGCAGGUGGCGAGAAUGAACCCAAGAUCGAAAGAAUUUCUUUCGUUCUCCAUUUGAGGCAGGUAUUGAAUUCUUCUUCUCUUCACCUUUACGCUUCUUCUUCUCUUCUUUACUUGUUGUGAGCUUGUGGUUGUUAAGCGAUUUCGAUUGUGACUCGUCGCUUCUGUUACAGGGUGGUCCUUUACCGAUGCCGGAUGAAGAAGUGAAGGCGCCCCUCGAAGUGAAGAAGAAUUUCAGAGUUGUAGAAUUCGAUUUGCAGGAUGAAAUUCGGUUCGUCGUCGCUGGAACUUAGUUGCAGAACCAGGAGAGAUUGAGAGAAUCGGUAUGGAGUUUUCAAGGGAGAAUGAAGAAAGGAAAUUGUUGCAGAAUGAGGAAGAAGAAAUUGAAGGAGUGAUUGAGGAUGAAUAAGAUUACAAUAAAAAAUCAUGAACCCCCUGAAUGGUGAGUGCAGUAGCCUUUUUAUAGAGUUUUGAGUUCAAUUUAGUUAUGAAAGUCUCCUUGAAAUGCACAUGAAAUCAACUAAUUAGUUACAAAUUCCAAUUGAGUUGGUUAGAAGUUAGUUUUAGUUGUGAGAGUUAGUUAUUCUGUUAUAAGCGCUAGCUGGCUUUGUUGGGUUAGUUAUAGGUUAAUGAAAUCGGUUAGUCAGUUAUUUGGAAAUUCUGUUAUGAUUGUUUGGUUAGUUGCAAAACGGUUUGGAGGUUAGAACUUGUUAUCUCUUGAGUUAAGUUUCAGUUGGUAUUUUGCAGUUUGUGUUCAAAUUGUUUUUGUUUCCUGUAAGUUGUUAGUUCUAAAUCAGUUGAAAAUUAUUUGGAGUUAAUUAGUGUAUGAUUUAAGACCUAUUAGUAAUCAGUGUUAAUAGAAUGUUAGACUGUUAGAAGAAAUUAUGAUAUGAAUACUGUUAUGACAGUUGGCAAAAAUGGUUAGAGCCCGCCUGUGAGCUCAUGUUUUUGAUGUUAUACCGUUGUAUUAGAAGUAUUGUUAACUUUCGUUACUUCAUUAAAAACCUGUUACGAACGUCACGAAUUUAUACAUGUCAAUAAAGAACGGAAUGGACCGAAAGGUAUGUGGACCUUGGCAUGAUGAUUGAUUGUGCUUGCAAUUGAUAUCAAUGUGAUUUUGUGCAGGGUUUGCCAUUUCUACAGGUUGGUUGUUGUAGUUUUAAGGUCUUUUUCGACUGAGCUGCUCUCACCUGUAAGAAUAGCUUGAUCAACACGUACUUCAUUACUUAGCAAUUCAAUCAUCUUCAUAUCAGCAGGAAUUUUGCACCCCACAGAAACUUCCACAAUAUCUCCAGGAACAAGUUCAGUUGCAGGAAGUAUGGAAAAACAACCACUUCGCAAGACAGUUGCCACAUCAGCUUGAUAAGCAGGUAAUUCCUCAAGAGCUUUUUUGGCAUUUGUUUCUGUGAUCACUCCCACAGCUGCAUUUGCAGCCAAUAUCAUCAGAGUAACAGAAGGUUCCAGAAACGCCAUCAAGCCCGUUUCACCAUUAAUUAAUGCCAGAAUAAAUUAUAUAAGAGCAGAUGCAAUUAGUAUCUUCACAAGCAAAUCAUCAAACUGCUUCAAAACCAAUUUCCAAAAUGGAGCUCUGUGAUCUUCAUGCAGCAC
rnacentral:lncRNA from 1 species